rnacentral:miRNA from 1 species
UUAGCUUGGCCAAAAAGUUCGUUCGGGUUUUUCUCUAAGAUCUUAUGGGAAAACCAAACAAACUUUUUGGCCAACCC